ACAGCUAGCUAGUUAACCGAACUGCUAACUGGCAACUGAAAUGUGGUCCUGAUAUAUCCAAAGCACUAUAAUCGUUCUGGCAAGCCAAGAGGACCUUGACAUUCUGUCUGUCGUUUCUAAGGAUUCUCCUGUCUAGAAGGACCCCAAGGGAGCGUCUACAAGCAAGGAGAAGGGCAACGCCAGCUUUAAAGCCAGGGACUACACUGCUGCUGCCCUGGACUACUUACAGGACAUCACACGGCCCUGAAGCAUGGCUACCCCAGUCACCUGCAACACAAACUACAGGACAGACACAUACAGUGCCUCAACCACCUCUCCAACCAGGGAGAGGGGCUAAACACCCCCAAACAGGGAGAAGGGGACCAUGCAGAGGGUGUGUGUAGCAGUACCAGGGGCACAAAGUCCCCAAACUCCCAGCAGCAACAGAAAGGGAGUGCUCCUGUGUCGUCUCUCCUCUGGUCUGUCUACCUCAGCUCUGGUAAAGGGUGACACCUGGUGGCCACCGAAGGAAUCACGUCGGGGGGGGUGAUAGUGGAGGACAGGGCUUACAGCUGUGUGUUCAUACCAUGGAUGGAGGGAGGGAAAGGGAGGGAUGGAGAGACUGAGAGAAGAGGAGAAGUGUUUGAGACGGAGGAGAGGCUUUGUCAUCGGUGUUUGGGGGAGAUGGUGAGCCCCGUGCCGUGUGAGGGGUGCAGUUACGCCCGGUACUGCUCAGAGGGGUGUCGGAGGGGGGCGUAGGAGGGGCAUCAUCGGUGGGAGGGUCCAAUCGGCGCCAAGCUCAGGGCUGCGGGAGUGAUGUCACAGCUGGUUCUGAGGGUGCUGUUGAAUGCGGGGCUUGAGGAGGUAUUGAAGAUGAGGACAGUGAUUGUAAACCAAUCAGAGAGAAGAUUGGCUUAGAACUGGCAUUCUUGGGACUAAUCACAGAAAAGAUCAGCCCAAAGGAGAAGGAUUCUGGGUCCAGUAAUACCACUAGAGCCUUGGACAACGUUGUCAAUCCCUCUGCGUGUUACCAUGGCGACUCCUACCUGAGCGUCUACCACCUGCUGCGUCAUCUGAGUGGGCACGCCCCCAGCCUGUGCUACCUGUGCUCCAUCACCAUAGCAACGCUCUACCUGUGCCUUCGCCAGGCCAGACCUCCACCUGCGUCCUGGGAGGAGCCUGUGUAAGCAGGAAGUACAACAACCAAUCGCAGGGCCAGGAGGAGGAUGAGAAAGAGAAAUGGCGUCUGGAGCUAAGCCUGCUGGGAAGUGUAGUUCUGAGACACAUGCUGAAGCUGCGGUGUAACGUCCAGGCAGUGAGCCUGCUCAGAGAUACAGGUGACUUUACUGUGGUGCAGUCCAGCCAGGAAGCGUGCAUUGCCACGGCGAUAUUUCCCACGCUGAGUGUUCUGAACCACUCCUGCAGCCCCAACACCAGCGUCACUCUCAGAACUGCUCACUUGGACUCACCUCAACCAGACCUCUACUGAUGAACUGGUUUCUACUGGUCCUGUUCUGCUCCUGUCUCCUUGUCAGAUGGAGCAUCUGUCUCUGUCUGAGCAUCCAGAGACAUCUCUCCUGGACAGGAGAUCCUCCACUGCUAUGUCAACCUCUGGUUCUGUCCGUCUGUCUGUACAUCUGUCUGUCCGUCUGUUUGUUUUCUCACUCACUCUCUGUUUCCUGAUUCAAUGUCUGAAACUCAUGUUUGUAGUCCUAAACAUUAUACACCUUGUGGUUUUAUAACCAGUUGUACUCGAUCUUCUCUCUCUUCCCCCACCCCCUCUCACCC